GUUUUUGUUAAUAUAAUAGUAUAUAUAUUUUUAAUUAUGAGAUAGAUUAACACAUGUCACAAUCUUAAAUAUAUAAUUGCUAUGUGUCGCGAUCCUAUUAAUUAGCAACUUUGAAGAACCAAGUUUUAUAUAAUAAGAUAGAUUUUAUAUAGUAUAGAUAGCAAAAAUUAAUAUGAUGAUUUUUCAUAAUUUGAUUGGUGGUUUUAAUCCUAUAUGGACGUUCCUAGUGGCUUAUAUUCUGAACUCUUAUAUAGUAUAGAUAUAAACUAAAAUUUUAAAAUUCUGUCAUAAUACAUUUUUAAAUUAAUUAUUAUUUUGGUAAUUUUUAAGGUAAUUUUUUUGAAAUUAUGCUAUAUAUUAAGCUAACUUAUCUAUGAUGUUUUUACUUUUGUAAGUUUUCCAUAUUUGAUACUGGUUUGUUUUUUUAUUUGGAAAUAAAUAAACUUUUGGAAAUUUUGACAUUUUAAAAACUAAUAAAAUAAAAUAAUGAUUUUUCAUAAUACGAUUCAUUGUUUUAAAUUAUAAUUUAUAGCCUCAACUUUUACAUACUUUUUGAUCAAUAACUGUUUGUUGAGUAAACUAAAUUAAGAACUUGUGAAAAAUCACCUUGUAACUUGUUUUGUUGUUGAUGACCAAGAAGUUCUUAAUCUUAUAGACUACACAGCCUUUAAAUCAUCUUCAUAGCACACUAUACGAUUAGCUGGUAUGAAGGUGUGUGAUUUGUUUUCCCUGUAAAAUUUUGUGUCAACCAAAUAAUGUCGUGCUUAUUAAAUUUUAAAUUGCGAAUGUCUAAAUAAAAAAAAUUAUACCUUUUGAUCAAUAAGAAAUAACUCGAGACCCAUAGGCAAACCACCCUUGCUGAAGUUACAUGCUUCAAAAAAGUGAACCACUCAAUCAAGGACUUCAUUCUUAUUCAAACCUUUUUUAAAUAAUCGAAAACUAAAGAAGUAGCAGAAGCAACGAUUGGGUAAAUAUAUAUUUUCUCUUUUUAAUAUCUCUCUUUUUCUCAAAGUAAAUCUUGUAAACUUUUAGAACUUUACAAUUAUUUAUAGUCAUCCAAUACUUUAUAAGUUGGGAAGUUUCUUAUUUUAUGUAUUUAGUGAAUUUCCCUUUUAGAUGUUUUAGUUUUUGUUAUUCAACUCCUUUAACAUCAGUUUUUCAUUUUUUUCGUUAGUCUAUUUUAUGUUAAUAUACAUAAAUUUGGAAAUCAUGACAUUUAAAAAAUAACUAUUUUUUAUUAGCAUACUUUAUUAGAUAAUAUAUAUAUUUUAUUAACAUGUAAUAUAGUAUUUAAGGAUAUGUUUUAACUUUUAAAAUUUUGUUUUUUUAAUCUAAUAAUUAUGUAUCAACAUUAAGUAUUAAAAAAUUGGAAAUCAUGACAUUUGAAAACUAAUAAUGUUUUAUUAGCAUACUUUAUUAGAUAAUAUAUAUCUUUUAUUAAUAGGUAAUAUAGUAUUUAAGGCUAUGUUUUGACUUUUAGAAUUUUUAUUUUUAAAUCUAAUAAUUAUAAAUCGACAUUAAUUAUUAGAACUUAUAUUUUCUGUUAAUAUACAUUAAUUUGUAAAUCAUGACAUUUUAAAAACUAAUAAUUUUUUUAUUAGCCUACUUUAUUAUAUAACUAGGGUAAAACCCGUCUUACGGGCGGGUAAGCAAAUGAAAAUAAUUAAAACAUGUUAAUUAGUAAAAUAUAGUUAAAUAAAGUACUAUUCUAAUGAAUAUUUUUUUAUUCUUGUUAAAAAUAAAAAUAAAAAUAAAAUUUUAAAAAUGUUAUGAUGAAAAUGUCAUUAUUUUACAUUUUCAUCGAUGUUUAUUCUUUGAUUAUAAUCAAUAAGUAAAAUACAUUUAUUAUAUUAUUUAGCUAUAUACCUUUUUAGUGAAUUUUUUAGCCAGAUUUGGUUUCUGGGACAUUGCCCAUUUAUUUCAGUCGUAAAGCAUUCUUGCCAAAUGUGAAUCAAACCCUAAUGGUAGAACUUAGGCCUGGGCAUUUCGAGUAGCGGUUAGGUUCGGUUCGGGUAUUUCGGAUUUCGGGUAGUUCGGAUAUGAGGCUAGAGUAUCCAUUCAGUACUUGAUCUAUUUUCGGUUCGGUUCGGUUCGGUGCGGAUAAUUUUGGGUUCGGUUCGGAUAGUAAAUCUAGGAACCGGGAAAUAUCCGGAAAAAGUUUGGUUCUCAUUUGGAUCCGGCUCGGAUUCGGAUAGUUCGGGUAGUUCGGAUAAUUUGGAUAAAAUAUUGGUUAUUUAGGAUAAAAUAUCAAAUAAAUAGGAUGAUGUAGAUAAAAAUUUUGGAUAUUUUGGAUUACUUUGGAUAUUUCGGAUAAAAAUAUCCGGAUAGUUUCGGAUACUUUCGGGUAAUUCAGAUACUUUAUAAUAAUUUAGUUAUCCUCAACUAUUUUCAGAUACUUUUAGUAGAAUUUUAAAUUAAAAAUAUAUAUUUAGCUAAGUUAUAUGUAUAUAUAGUUAAUAUUUUUAUAUAUUCGGGUACCCGUUUGGUUCUCGGUUCGGUUCGGUUAUUUCGGAUAUAAAAAUAUAGAAACUGUUCGAGUAUUUGAGGGUAUUGGUCCGGUUCCAGUUUCAGGUAUUUCGGUUCGGUUCCGGCUCGGUUCUUCGGUUCCAGUUAAUUUGCCCAGGCCUAGGUAGAAGUUACAACCUCAAAAAUUUUACAAAAUUGUAGAUAUAAAUGUGUAUAGGAAAGACUCUUAUUUAUUUCUUUUAAUAGAUAUAGUAAAGCAAUUAUGAUUUUAAAUAUAUUUUUUUGCAACAUAUCUUAUUUAAUAAUUAAAUUGGUUCUUAAAAAUUAAGUGCUUUGAUAUCAAAGUUUUUGCAUAUAAUAUCCUUUGGUCUCACCCAAAAAAUAUUUUUAAUCAUUUACUUCCUCAAUAUGAUUGUAUCGAUUGGUAGGACGACCAGAUUUAUGAAAUGUUGUUUACGUUCAUUUCCUUCUUGUGUGUUUCGCCUGAGAAACAGUGAGAAAUUAACUUUUUGAAUUUGUUUGGUAAAAUAAUUAACUGGACCAAGAAAGAAUAUCCGGUUAUCAGUUCUGAUAGGAUCUGAUCAUUUCAGUACAUUGGAAUUUGUGUGUAUGAUGUUAGCCUGAUAUCUGCAAUGUCAGCAAAUGAAAACUUUAACAUUCUCAUUGAUUUAUUAGUUCAUAUAUUAGGCUUGAUAAGUGAUUCCUUAAACAACUUCUCGAAAACCCAUGAUCAUAUCUUCAUGUAUCUUGUACUUAACACUUUUGCAUAUCCUUUUAUGUAUAGGACAAACGAAGCAUACAGUAAAGAUCUGGAUCGUGCUGGUCACAAUCUCUGCCUUUUUGAUUGGUCUUUUGCAGGCUGAAAUCGUUCCUCCAAGCUAUACAUGGUUGGUGAGUUAAACAAAAGUCUUUCCUUUUGGUUUACUAUUUGAUCAUCUGAAACUACGAUUGUGUUGUCAUUUGGUUAUGUCGCCGCCUGUUUCUGUUACAGCUACACAUCUACUUUGUAGUAUCUCUCAGAUGCCAUGGUCUUUGAAUGGUUGGUCUCGGUUAAUACAGUUUCCUACCUGUCCCCAAGAAGCUCAGUUAGGGUAACAAAAUAAAAAAAAAGACGAAAAACAUAUAUUCUACAAAAAAGUUGGAGACAGAACCAAGAAAGAAUAAAUACGUGAGGUGAUCUUACUUGAAGUAAUGGCAGGAUUGAGUAAAGUCUCAUCCUCCCUUUUCAAAUGAACUACAACUCUCCCAACUUUCAUGAAAUCACGCGGGUAUGCUCUGUCAAUCUGAGAACAAUAUCAUAAAAAAUCAAAUCAUUAACCCUGAAAACUUAAAUCAAAUGAUUCAAAUCAUAAACGAAAGAUUUUGUAUUUAAAUUUAGAUAGUACAUGAAAAAAUUGACACAAAAUCAACAAACAAAAUCAAAAUCCAAUCAUUGCCCAUAAACGAAAUGUCAUCUGGUGUUAGUAAACCUAUUUUUCACUCUAUUAUAGAGUGAAAAAUAGAGUACCAUUAGAGCAUUUUUUAUUCUAAACUCUAUUUUAGAGUGAAAAAUAGAGUGGGGUUGGAGAUGCUCUUAGGAAGCGAUGAGAUUAGUUCAUGCUUCCAUCCUAAAUUCAGAAACCCAUAGGAAGUAAUAAAAGGGAUACCUUUUCAUCCGUUUUUACAGCCAAGUCGUAGAUUUGAGAUGCACCAGAGGACAUUUCGACUACUGGAUGAAAUCUAUGCGGGUUUCAAAAAUGUGAGUUGAUUUGAGAUGCACGGCCCUGGUGUAUGACAUGAACUAUAUAUAGGUGAGAAGUUUGAAGCGGUUAUGAAAUCCACCCAUUAUUGAGGGUCUGAGUGAUGAACAAAAAAAACAAAUUAGUAAACCUAUUUUUCACUCUAUUAUAGAGUGAAAAAUAGAGUACCAUUGGAGCAUUUUUUAUUCUAAACUCUAUUUUAGAGUGAAAAAUAGAGUGGGGUUGGAGAUGCUCUUAGGAAGCGAUGAGAUUAGUUCAUGCUUCCAUCCUAAAUUCAGAAACCCAGAGGAAGUAAUAAAAGGGAUACCUUUUCAUCCGUUUUUACAGCCAAGUCAGAGAUUUGAGAUGCACCAGAGGACAUUUCGACUACUGGAUGAAAUCUAUGCGGGUUUCAAAAAUGUGAGUUGAUUUGAGAUGCACGGCCCUGGUGUAUGACAUGAACUAUAUAUAGCUGAGAAGUUUGAAGCGGUUAUGAAAUCCACCCAUUAUUGAGGGUCUGAGUAAAGACUGGGAGAUCGUGAGAUGUAUAGAUAGAGGAAGACUAACAGUUAAUGUGUUUAAUUGGAGAAGUAGAAACGAUAAUGUAUGUGAGUGUGAGAAAGUUAGGAUAUGCAGCAUUCAGCCAUUCUCGUCGUGAUCCGUUACAGGAUACCGAGCACAAUCGAUCGUCGUACUCGCCGCCGUAGUCAGAGAAACGAAGAAGACAAUUAGGUUAGCGUCAUAUGAGAUGUUCCAGGGCCUUAAAAAGUACGAAAUAAAGCCCAUUAUCGCAGCACACGCACAUCAAACUUAAGCCCAUACGGUCCCUAAAUUAUUGAAGCGCCGCAUUUCAUUUAACAGGACAAGUGUCAGCUAGGCAGCUUAUGAAUUUGUGCGCUGGCAGCUGAGGUGGACACCCUAGGAGUGAAGGAAAAGUGUACUUUAUAGUUUUGGAUAUACAUUUUUUGGAAUAUUAACAUUUAAUUUGAUUUGUCAUAUUUUUACUGGUGGUUUUAAAUCCUAUAUGAACGCGUCCUAUGGAUUAUAGUCUUUUUACUUUUUCUUUUUCAUUUUAUUAUAACAAUUAACAUUUUAAAACAAGUUAGAAAAUUUUAAUAUUUAUUCUUUAGUUUAAAUUAUAUAUGGAUUAUUAAUUUCGUUUUCAAUACAAUUUUGGAAAUUUUGACAUUUUAAAAACUAUUAAACUAAAAUGCUGAUUUGUCAUCAUACUAUUAGUCGUUUUAAAUCCUACGUGGACGCCCUCAAUGGCUUAUAGCUUCAAUUUUUAUAGAGUAUAGAUUCAUAGCUCCGAAAUUAAUAAAUACACAUUAAUAAACAAAAAAAAUAUCAAAAUUCAUUUUGAAUUUUGUGAAAAAGCAUGUCUUUUAAAAUUAAUAGAGAAGUUCUCACAUGAAGUAUGAAUAAACAAUAAUAUUGUUAAUCUCGUCAUUAUAAAAUAUACUAGGUUACGCAAUUUGUUCAUAAUUUCCCCAAUUCACAACAAACACGAAUGAACAAGAAAAAUGUUCAAAUUCAUUUUCAAUUUAGAGAAAAUUCAAAUUUACAAAAUUAACAGGGAUACUAAGUUUUAUUUUUAGGUUAUUUUUGCAAUUUCAAAUUAAAGAAAAAAAGGUUUCUCAGUGAGUAGACUUCUUGAGAAGUCUCAAUUUCUAAACUAGUGGGUUAAUUUUUUAUUUGAAAAAAAAAACAAGUUGCUUAGAACAGUCCUUUGAUAAUUUUUGACUUUUCAUAGCUUUUGAAGAAAUUUAAAUUUUCAUAGAAUACAUCAAGUUUUCUUCUAGGUCCUUGUUGUCACUAAAUCUUCACAGCGCCUUGAUAAGUUUAUUCUGGUUAAUUUUGCCAUUGAAUUUUUUUUUAACGUUGGAUAAUUAUGCUAUUACAAACUCUGAGAAAUAUUACAGACGAUUCUACAGCCGACAAUUCUACCUGUCUUAUUAGGAUUCACGUCUAACUGCAUCAUCUGAGCUCCCUAUCGGAUCCACGCUUGAAGGUACUCCUUGCGCCAUGCUGCAGAUCUCUUGUAAGCAUUUUCUCCAUUAAUUCGCAUACUUUCGCCUUUUCUGGAAAUCGAAACCCAGACCUCCUGGUGUAGAAGUAUUAAUGAACCUUUAGUCAAACCACUGGUCCAAGGGGACUUCCACCAGUUAAUUUUGCAAUUGAAUGUAUUUAAUUUUAUACGAGUAGACCUUGGGAGAAAAAGACUUUCCUUGAGUAGAUUUCUUGGUAUCUAACUAUCUAUGAAAGAAGACUUGUCGAUGAAUAGACUCUUUGGUGUCUAUGAUAACUGUUUAGAAAUUAGAAUGAGAAGACUUCUUGGUAUCUAUUAUAACUGUUUAGAAAUUAAUAUCAAAAUAUAAUAAUAAAACAACAUGUCGUAAAAUAUGUUAAAUCCUAAAAAAUCAUAUACAUUCAGAUAUUUAACAGAUAAAUAAAAUAAAAUAGCUAACCUAAUGAUUUAAAAAAAAAUUAACUUAAACUUUAGUAUAUAAAAUUUUCUGUUUAAAAAAAUUUGUUCCUGGUUAUAAAUAAUUAUCUUAAUUUAAAAUCGAUUACAGAAAUUUCUAAAACAAACUUAAGCAAUUGGUGGUUUUACUUAUUUUUUUUUGUACAUAUCUUUUUUGGCUUUUAACAGUUUUACAAAAAUAUUUCGUUAAGAAAUCAUUUAGAUAAGAGAUGUCUAACACGUAGUUUAUUUAUGAGAUUUAUAUUACUUUUUAUCUAUUAAGAUGAAUUAACAAAUUUUUUAUUCAUCACCAAUUAAAUUUUUAUCACUACUAUUACAUUCUGGUUUUAACAAACAUAAAUAUAGUCAACUACAGUACGCUGUAGUCUACAAGAAAAAUGUAUGGUCGAACAAAAAAAAUACAUAUUGUUUUUUCAUAAAUUUAUAAUUCAAUCUCUACUAUAUAAAAUGAACCAUUUUCAAAUCUUCUUAGACUGUCCACAUAGGAUGAAAUAUUCCUAGCCAAUCAUUUGUCCAUGUCAUCAAAAAUUCUUAGGCCAUGAAUCUGUGUUUUCAUUUGGGCUGUGUUUACAUUUAUUAAACUACCCGAGUCCAACCCAUCUCGCCAUUUCUGAAGCGUGACUCUUCCCCGACUAUUCCUCUUCGUCAUUACUGAUCAAUUUCUCAGCACCAAACACUUCGCCGUUACAGUUAUCCUUCUUCAUUAGUAUAUUAUCUCUUUAAUAUUGGUUUAAUGGUUUCGUUCCACCUUCCCCCUUUCUCUCCUUCUAUAUAAAGGACUCCAUCUCAUCGUUAUCCCAGCCCUAAUUGAAACUCUGCUGAAACAGCUACAUUUACCGGCAUGAAAUCCACUGGGUACUCUCCCCUCUCCACCGACAUGUCUUCUGUUGCUGUUUCUCUCUCCAAUUAAAAAUGACGGGCUCAAACGAGGACGAGGAGGACCAUCUUAAAAGAAGGAGGAGAUGAAGAAUCUACUCCUCCGUGAUGAUGAUAGCCCGAGAAGUAGAAAAAAAAACAUUUCGAUCCAACUUCUUUUGUUUUCAAGAUCAUUGACUUGGAUGGAUAUGGACCUCCACCUAGACGUUUCCAACCAAACACACGAGCAAGUUGAGUGAUGAAGAGCUUACCUACUUACAAAAACAUUUUUCUCAAGCUUUACCAUUUCAUUUCAUCCUUGGUAAUUUGCUUUACCUUAUUUUUACCCAACUUCCUCGCCACUUUGUGUGUCUUCUCUAUAGUUAAGCUUCUGGGAGAGUUGUGCAUAAGCAUCUUGAAGAAUUCAUGAGAGAGUGAGGUAACUUGCUCAAACGAGUUCUUUUCAGAAAAAUAAUUCAGUUCAUGAGUAGGUUUAUAGAAUGGGAAGAGAUAAGAUCAUGAAAUGGUUCUAAUGGUUUAUACAAGUUGCAAUAUUUCAAUAUUUGUGUUUAAAUUUCUGCCUUUUGAUUUGAUGAUACUAAUCUUUGUUCUCUUUACUUUGGUAUUAACUAAGUUAUGAUUCUUCUGCAUUUGGCCUGAGGUUUUCUUCCUAACAGUCUUUUCCUUUUUCCUUAAUCUGUAAAGGGAAGAAUAACGGGCUAGCUUCUGCCAUCGUGAAACUGUGGAAGAAAUGUGUUACUGCAAUCAAUUAAUUACUGUUUAUCGUCUUUAUAUUUUGUUACGCACAUAAAUACAGAACUGUUAGAAUAGAUAUUCGGUAGAAUAUUGUAUAUGUCUAUGAGUUAUGGUAUUUACCAUAUAUAGACAUAUACAAUAUUCUACCGAAUAUCUAUUUUAACAAGAACAAAUACAGAACGGCAAGGCAUCAACCGGAGACUUCAGAGGCUACCGGUAUAUACUUUCACAUAACAAUUUUGUGUUUUUCUGAACUAUUAACCACACAUGUCUCUAGAAAGUUGCUUACUCUUUCGAAAGCUAAAGUCUCGAAGGCAAAACAUAUUACAAAUAUUUCUCUUUUUUUUUCUUUCACAGGAGAACCUCAAGUGAAAGAAGAAAAAGAUGACAUCUAUCAAAAUAUCAAAUCUCUUGACAUUAAAACUUAAAUUUCUAUCAAAGAUUUCAAAUCUCUUGAUAUUCUUUCGUAUUUGUUCAGAAUUUAAUUGUUAUAAUAUUACUUACAUGUUUAA